AAACUCAAAGAUUAUUUAAGAUGAAAAUAUUAAUAUUUUUUAUCAAAUAUCAUUUUUAUUUUUUAAUUAAAUUGCAAAUAAAAAAUAUAGAUUAUCUAUUCCUAGGGAGAUUAUCUAUUGUAAUACAAAGAAGUUAAUUUAAUUUUAAUAUUUUUAAUAAUAAAGUUUUGAAAUUAUCAUAAGGAAUAAAUAAAAUAUGUUUAUUUUUCAUUUUAUAAAAGAGAAAAGUCAUUUUAUGAAAAUAAUGAUUAAAAUAUGAUACAUCAUAAUAUUAUAUUGUAGCCUAGUGGUUGAGAGCUUGCAUUGGAUUCUAAAGUUUUUUAAGCUCCGAAUUUGGAUUCGAAUCGGAUUAAAUAUCAAUAUUUCUACUUGAAUUUGAUUUUAUUUGGAUAAGAAAUGGAUGCUGUCGGAUGAAGUCCGGCUUGUUUUUAAACCUAAUACCUAAUUUACCAAAUGUCUGAUGCACACUUAUAAAACAUUCAAUAAAUCUAUUUUGAAUAUUAUAUAUGUGUUCAUGUUACUAUCCUUUUUGUACUUAAAAUCUAAGAAUAAAAUUGACCAAGGACCUCUAAUAUGUUUUAUGCAGAGCUGAUCAUGGGCCUUCUGGCCCAUCCAGGCCGCCCUGCCCGGUCCAGAAUUUU
rnacentral:lncRNA from 1 species